UGCCUAACACAUGCAGUCGAGCGAGAAGUUUAUGAAGGAUCCUUCGGGUGACUGAUUAAGUGGAAAGCGGCGGACGGGUGAGUAACGCGUGGGUAACCUGCCCCAUACAAAGGGAUAGCCACUGGAAACGGUGAUUAAUACCAUAUGAGAUCGUAGAGUCGCAUGACUUAGCGGUUAAAGAUUUAUCGGUAUGGGAUGGACCCGCGUCUGAUUAGCUAGUUGGUAAGGUAACGGCUUACCAAGGCGACGAUCAGUAGCCGACCUGAGAGGGUGAUCGGCCACACUGGAACUGAGACACGGUCCAGACUCCUGCGGGAGGCAGCAGUGGGGAAUAUUGCACAAUGGGCGCAAGCCUGAUGCAGCAACGCCGCGUGAGCGAUGAAGGCCUUCGGGUCGUAAAGCUCUGUCCUCAAGGAAGAAUGAAUGACGGUACUUGAGGAGGAAGCCCCGGCUAACUACGUGCCAGCAGCCGCGGUAAUACGUAGGGGGCAAGCGUUAUCCGGAAUCACUGGGCGUAAAGGGUGCGUAGGCGGUUUUUCAGUCAGAGUGAAGGCUAUGGCUCAACAUAGUAAGCUUUUGAACUGUAAA
rnacentral:rRNA from 1 species